rnacentral:rRNA from 1 species
CAUAGGUUAAUGAGGCGAACCGGGGGAACUGAAACAUCUAAGUACCCCGAGGAAAAGAAAUCAACCGAGAUUCCCCCAGUAGCGGCGAGCGAACGGGGAGCAGCCCAGAGCCUGAAUCAGUGUGUGUGUUAGUGGAAGCGUCUGGAAAGGCGCGCGAUACAGGGUGACAGCCCCGUACACAAAAAUGCACAUACUGUGAGCUCGAUGAGUAGGGCGGGACACGUGGUAUCCUGUCUGAAUAUGGGGGGACCAUCCUCCAAGGCUAAAUACUCCUGACUGACCGAUAGUGAACCAGUACCGUGAGGGAAAGGCGAAAAGAACCCCGGCGAGGGGAGUGAAAAAGAACCUGAAACCGUGUACGUACAAGCAGUGGGAGCACGCUUAGGCGUGUGACUGCGUACCUUUUGUAUAAUGGGUCAGCGACUUAUAUUCUGUAGCAAGGUUAACCGAAUAGGGGAGCCGAAGGGAAACCGAGUCUUAACUGGGCGUUAAGUUGCAGGGUAUAGACCCGAAACCCGGUGAUCUAGCCAUGGGCAGGUUGAAGGUUGGGUAACACUAACUGGAGGACCGAAC